rnacentral:rRNA from 1 species
CGACUAGCCCGUGCUUCCUCUGUUGGUACCGUCAACCCACAUGGUAUUAACAUAUGGGCGUUUCUUUCCAACUGACAGAGCUUUACGAUCCGAAGACCUUCCUCACUCACGCGGCGUUGCUGCGUCAGGGUUGCCCCCAUUGCGCAAGAUUCCUCACUGCUGCCUCCCGUAGGAGUCUGGACCGUGUCUCAGUUCCAGUGUGGCUGAUCAUCCUCUCAGACCAGCUAACCAUCACAGCCUUGGUAGGCCAUUACCCUACCAACAAGCUAAUGGUACGCGGACUCAUCCAACAGCGAGGGCUUUCAAGAAGAGGCUCUCUUUGGCUGAUUGACCAAGGCCAGUCAGCAUCAUUCGGUAUUAGCACACCUUUCGGUGGGUUAUUUCCAACUGUAGGGCAGAUUAUCCACGUGUUACUCACCCGUGCGCCACUUUACUAAGGCCCCGAAGGACCCUUUCUCGUUCGACUUGCAUGUGUUAGGCACGCCGCCAGCGUUUGUUCUGAGCCAUGAUCAAACUCUAAUCGAAUUCCCGCGGCCGCCAUGGCGGCCGGGAGCAUGCGACGUCGGGCCCAAUUCGCCCUAUAGUGAGUCGUAUACA